rnacentral:lncRNA from 1 species
AUGAUUGCAAGCCUAUUGUGGCAGCAAAACACAUCUGUGAUUCUGAUUUUGAGAAUUACUGCAGCUACACCAGACUCCUGCUCCCACUCUGCUCAGUGCAGCAGGCACUUAGUCUCUCAAGCUUCAUCUUUUUUUGUGGUGGCUUUUGAGUUGCUGGAAUUAUGGAGCAAAGGUCCACAGCACUGUAUGCAGAUAGCAGGUUGUACUUGCAAAGGUGGAACUGGGAGAAAAUGUUUUGUCUUCAUUUGCAAAUUGAGCAUGUUUGAUGGAGAUGUCCACCUAGGAGCCUACAUGCAGGGGGUACAAGGGCCUCUUGCUUCUCUUCAUUCAUUCACUUUUCUGGCUGUUAGCUAGUCCCAGAGUCACGAUGUCUCCAAAAACCACGUUUGGAUCUGGGAAUGGAAAAGCCUGCACUGUACAGCUGUACAAAGCAAGAAGCUUCCCAAUUUGUGCAGCCCUCUUUGGUGGCAGAUACACUGUCAGUUAAAAGAGGAAAUUCCAGAUUUUCUCUGGGGGUCAAUUCCCUGUCCAGGUGUAUUUGAACUAUCUAAGCAAGGGUACUUCCUCUGAGUUCAAGUCUAUUGUAAUAAUUUCAGAGAAGAGCUGAGAGCCACGAGGCCUUUGUUACAGCCUUGCAUCUUCCAUCAAUUCCUGACAUUAAGAUCAUUCCUUUACAACUCUUAGACUCAUUUUACAUGAGUUUUGGCUAUAUAAUAUGUGUUCAUAUCUCACCACAAAAUUUGGAAGAAAAAUACAAGCCCCAAGGAAAUACUCUGAGACCUUAAAGUACCAAGGAAGACAACAUGGAAUGUAUCUUACGGUCUCCCAGCCUGUUUCUAGUUUGCUAUAGGCAACUAGAGAAAAAGCUGUGCUCUUGAAUGGCCACGGUUGUCCCAGUGCUUGUUUGGGGAGUUCAGUAACUCACCUAAUAAGUGGGACAGACCAACAGUGUUGGUGUGCUAGAGCUCCAGCAUGAGGGUUGGCUUUGCAGCUUCUUGGAGUGGGUGGUAAAACCUGGGCCAAUGUUGAGAGGAUCUGAAAUGUGUUCCCUUAGUCAUACUGAUCUAUGAAAAGCAGCCAAACGUGAGUUGGGAUAUGUGCUUUAAAAAUGUCAAGGGGAAAUUAUUUCAAGCUGUGAAUAUAAAUAAAGUUAAUAACUUGACUCUUCCCA